GAAAAAAUGAGGUCUGGAAGUAAAUCCGGAGCGAGGGAGCUGCCUUCCAAGUAAGGGACCCUUUGCCGCCUGAGCGCUACAGUUGGAGAGAGCCGUGACGCAGUUGGUAAUUCACAGCGCUUGUGCUUUAGUGCGGCCACCCAGCCCACGAAAUGGCCUCCCCGUCGAAGUCUGGUGCUUUUAUUGUGUGAAAGCCUACGGAGAAACCGCGUCCCGUGCGCCGGGAGUGGCGGCUGGCGGCUGGCAGGGCGCUCCGGGUCGCGCUCGGUGUUGUGUGAGGGCGGCCGCCAUCAUGGCUGCUUCUUCAGCGCCGCUUUCUCCUCAGCGCUGGGUCCCCCACUGCCUCCCGACGCUCCGCGUCCCGAUCAUUGCAGGGAAACGGCCUUUUCUUUUUUUUUUUUCCUUUUUUUUUUUUUCUUUCUCUCUUUUUUUUUUCCUUCCCCUUCCCCCAUCGCUUUGUGAGGGGUUGUGGAAGGAGAAAGCGAGGAGGGAGCGGCGCACAAGAUGGCGGCGUCGGGGAGCGCCCUGCGGCAGCGGGCGGCGCGGGGCUGGCGGGGCUCCAGGCGGGGGGGGCUGGGGGGAGGACAAAGGCAGCGCGCAUCCUGCGGGCUGGGCACCUAUAAAUAACGCAGCCCGCCCCUCAGCCUUCCUCCCUUCCCCCAGCUGGUUUUAUAAAUACCAAAGGCUGAAAGCAGCCUAAUGCGAGGGGGUGGGGGGGGGGAAGAGGAACAAACGUCCCCCCCUUUCCCCCCUAACUGUAAAAUGGGGGGAGAGAAGACAAGCUAAUGAGCAGUUGGAGCCAACGUGCCGGGGGAGCGCUCCCCGCCGCCGUCACAUGGCUCUGCGUUGUUUUCCUCCUUCUCCCCCCACCGCCGGUGCGGCAGAGCGGCGGCUGCCUCCUCCCGCCCGUGGCCGCGGAUGGCGGGGAGGAGCCCCGCGGCCUCCCCGGCCCUCAGCCCCGGGCCCUGCUGAGGUGCUGCCUCAAAUCAGAUAGCAAAGCCCGGCUUCGGCGGGCGGAAGGCACACAAAGCCCACCUAGAGGGGUGCUUGGGCCAGGCCAUGCAGCCCAGCGGUGGGAGGGAUGAGGCUGUUGUCCACACAACACAGAACACAUUUCCAAAGGAAAAAAAAAAGGAAAAACUGCGAGGCUGGGCUCCAUCCCCACGCCCUGCCCCGCCAGCAGCCAUGAUGGGAGCGUUGCUGGAGCCCCUUCUGCCCUCACAUGGAAGAGACUGCUGCGUUGGUUAAAGCAAACAGCGAUACAGUGCUCCUCUGCUGUUCCUGGGAACGUGGGACGCCUCCUGGAGCAGGAUGUGAUGGCCGGAGCAGUGCUGAGCCGUCCUGGGGUUUGCAGGGUUCUUAGAGCAGUGCUGCAAUGUCUCGGCUGCUUGCAUCAUCAUGAGUUAAAUCAGCAUGCAAAGCCAUUAAAGAAUUGGUUGAUUGAAACAGCACCGGCCAUGAGCUUCCCUGGAUUUUUAAGCUGAUGUUUAAAUAGAUCUAUGGAUCUUAACGUCUGCGUUUUGAACCUCAAUUUUGGUCUAUUUAACCCUGAAGCAAACUAGCUCUGCUUAACGCAGCCCAGGCUUCGAAACAAUUCAGCCGGUCCAUAAUACCGUGGGAGCUCAGACAGCUUUGUCUGCACUCGCACCUCUCUGCGCGUCUCUGCAGGACCGUGACUGCCGCUGUGCGCAAUCCAUCACUGCUUGGACGGUGCUGGAACCCCCGACUGCUCCCCAGCACGCACCAGGGCCCACACCGGCCAAACCCCAUGGGGUAAAGCAGAGCCAGCGCUCUGUGUGGGUCCUCAGCACUUCUGGAAAUGGCUGUUGUAAGUCUGAACUGAAAAUUUCUGUACGUUUGUAGGGUUUCUAAAUGACUGUAAUGUUCAGUGUUGUUGAAAAGCAGCCGAGGCGGUUGAGACUGGUUGCGCUCCCUGGAGUGGGUGGUUUAAUGGUUGAACCUCCUUUUUGAAAGGAGAAGCGUUCUGGUACAGUGUGCUUAAAGCCCACAGAGGUCAGAGCAGACUUCCAGCCCCGGGUUAGGCUGACCCUAGCUUGCUGCCUGAGCCUCUUCAGAGAAAGAAAGAGAUCUUUCAGGGGAAAGGAAACAAAGAUUUUUUCCUCCAAAUGGCCCGUGGUCACUCCACGCACAUUCUUAAAGCAGUGGCGUUUGUUCUUACCCGCAGUGUCCCUCCUCUGAAUUGUUGAGUCAAAAACUCCAAUGGUAAUUAUUUUAGUGCCUGUUAUCAAUAAGAAGUUGUUUAAUGUCUUUGGCAACGUGCUGUGACUAAAGCAAAUUCGAUUGAGAGGCAAAGUGAAAUAACAAAUAUGCAGCCGCUCUGCCAAACAAUGACUGGGACUGUUUACAACAUUUUGUUUCAGACUGGUUUGUACACAGAAUCCUUUCUGUUGAAAGUUUGCAUGUCACAAUCUGCUGCUUGUGCAAGCAGACUAGAUUAAUAGAUUAUAAAGGACAAAAGGGACCUAGGUUCAUCUGGUUUGACUUCCUGCAUGAUGCAGGUGAUAAGAUAUUUGAGAAUGCGUUGUUUUUUUCUCAUUUGAGAGAAUUUAACAAUAGCAUACCUGUAUCUUAGAAAAAAGAUUGUGGUUGUAAUUUUAAAAAUGGCCUCUGAGAGUAAAGUAAGGAUUGGCAAACUGUUUCCAUCGAAAUCUACCUGGUAGAUGAAAUUAAGAUACCUUUUAAACUGAGCCUUGUCUGGCUUCUGCUUUCAGUUACUGGAUGCUGCUGUACCUUGGUCUGCUCGAGCGAAUGCUCCUUUUCCAGAUCCUUGCCCUACAGAGCUGUGCACAGGCUGAUAACCGUGGAUUUAACGCUCCUGUUGCAGAUUUGCUGAGCUCUCCCUCGGGUCCAGGAUUACCAGCCCUACAAGCAUUGCUUCUCUGUGCACUCUCCAGUUUUUCACCAUUUGGAUCUGGGCAUCCAGAGCAGGGCGGAGCGUUCAGCAGUGAUCCCACCCAUGCCAGCAGUGUGCUGAGGUUUCUGUUACGCACCCAGGGAUUACUCCUGGUGCUCAGCUGGUUUUCCUGCUCUGCUCCUAAAAUGCCAUCCAACUUGCUCCUCCCGUGGGACUGCAUCUGUCUGUGAACAGCCUGACACUCAGCUCUUAAGGGCAGUCCUUAGGCAGCAUCACUGCUUGCAUUGGCCUUUAUUUACACGUCCUGGUGUUGCUCUUCUGUGUCACCCACAGACGUGACUGGUAAAUAUUUUACGUUUUCUUCCAGCUCACUGACAAACACCAUUUCUGUUUCUGCUGUAGGAGUGUCCUGGUUCCAGGUGUGUGCGUGCCUCAGUUUUGUCAACAGUGAGUCAGGAGAUCUGAUCUACGCCAUCUCCCACCACACCCAUCCAUGGAAAGAAAGCCCAGUGCAGGAGCUGGCAGGGAGCCAUGGGGCACACUGCAGCAUGUGCCUGCUCUGUAUCAAACAGAGCCAUUACAUAGUGUGGGGCCCAAAUCAGAUAGUUACAGCACCAUAAAAGAAAGAUAACAGCUCUAAGAUGCAGCAAUUACAACUGCACUUUGAGAUAUUCCUAUUGGAUGGAUUUUAUUCCAUGUGAUUAUGUCAUCUUGAUUUUAUGUUCUCAUAAUCACGUAAAUGCUUCACAAGGGUUGAAGUACAGCUCUCCUAGAGAUUUGCUACCAGUGAUACUUCCGUUUAUCACCUAACUUCAGUUUCUCUCUCAGCAGCUGAACUCACAAAGCUGCUUCUCCUGUGGAUUUGCAGACAAAUCCCCGCAGACUCCCUCCAGUUCCUUCCCUGUUUUCUGAGCAAGGGGUAGCAGCACUGCCCCCUGGGGGGGCUGACACUACCUGCCUUUCCCCCAGGGCACGGUGCUGCCUCUGCUGCAUACUCUGCUCAGCUGUUCCUUCCAGACCUAAACAUGUUUGGGAUUUCUUCCCCACUGUCAAAUUUGACUGAGGUUGGAGGAGGGAGGGGAAAAAUGACAGAGAACUUUUAUUUUUAGGAAACCAGGCUAAAAAUAUCAAAGGAGUAUUGAACUAGAAUACACAUUGGGUAUUUGCCUGUUCAGGGUUUUUUUUGUUUUUUUUUGGUGAUUUCCCCCCCCCCCCCUAUUUUUAACCUUUUCCUAAGUAUGGCACGUCAUACAGGUAAGGAAUUUCUCAGCCAAAAUAUGUACCCUCCUGACAGAUUUUACCUAUAUUCCAGCGUGCUCUGCGGAUGCACGGGCUCUGUGCACAUGGGCUGUGUGCACUGCAUAAUGAUGGGGAACCCCUGGUCUGCUGGGUUGUUGUGCCUGAGUACAAAGAGAGAUACCUUCACACACAGCAGGAGAACAAACAUUUCUUUUGUUUAAGAUCCAUACAAGUUUUGAUGGACACAUUGGGCAUUUGCCAGGGCUGGCUUUUUUCUUUUCCUUUUAAACUACAUCUGUUCAUUUUAUUUCUGGUAGUAUUAUGACAAAGCCACCUCUGUAAGAUAGGUAGGGAGUGCUUUCAGAGAUCUAAUCAUUCUUGAGCUUUUAAAGAAUAAAAAAAGCUGUUUCAACAUCUGAAUUGCAGAAUGUUUUGUGUUGCUGCUUGCCAUUGAAAUGGAGCUACUAUUGAAAUGCUGUGAUCCCAUCAGCAUGUACAACUCGUUAUUGUUUACAGUACUUUCAAGCUUAAAAAAUCAUUAAAUCAAGAAGGUUGGCAAUUCUAAUCAACAUUCUAAAGCUGUCAGAUUGCUGGACAUAUCUGAGAUUCACUGGGCUUGCAUCAAAAGGACAUGAAUAUAGAGAUAAGUAAUCUGAAAGGAUAUUUAUGCAUUAAAAUACUUAUGUGCCUGGACACCUAUCAUUAAACAGCCUCGAUGCGGCGGUAGCUGGAGACCCGUGAGCCUUUUGAACAAAUGCAACAUGCAGGGGGAACGUUCUCAUUACAAGUGAUGGAACAUAAAAUGUUUCAGCCACGAAAGUGAUGACAAAGAUCAAAUGGAGUGAGUUUAGCUUACAAAUUGGAGCAUUUUCCUCUAACUGGCACGAUGCAAACAACCUAUGGCACAGAAGAAAGACGGUUUUGCCCUUGACAUUGCUGCUGUUGCUGCCGUAUCUGCAGUCAAGGAUCCUCAUCUUGAUUUAUUUUUGUCAGGACAGCUGGGAGUGCCCCAGCUGCUCCACUAAGCCGCAGUUUUCAGCCGAGUGGGCCAGAACGUGCAGAAUUAGCGAAUGCUGCCUUGUCCCUUGCCUUUCUGCGGGUCUGCACAGCAGCAGCUCCCAGUUGCUAAGCAGCUGUAGAGCCGUCCUUGCCUUUGCUACCAAUCAGCUGUGCAAGGGGAGCAGCACAGGUUCCCCUUGAUCGGCAGAGAGGAGCUGGCAGUGUGAAAGCACGAGCAGCGGCCAUAGCAGAAUUGUUUCUUUGCUGGCUGGCUGCUGACCCCCUGGCAGAAAUGCCGGCGUGAAGCAAAGGGACACUCGACGGACCGGGAGCAAGGGAAGGAGGGAGAGCCAGCAUAUGUGCACAGCAGAGGUUACAAAGGCAGCAGAUCAUAGCGGAGCAGGGGGCACAUGCUGAGGAGAAAGGAAUGGGAGAGAGGCCAAAGGCACAGCUCAGAAUAAAAAACCCCAGGAGGAGAGUGCAGCAUAUGGAGGGGAGAAAUAAAGCAGAACUGGCACAGCCUGUGAAUAAUUGAAUAGAAAACACAGGAGGAGAGGAAAGGAGCUUGAUUCAUUACUGCCCUUCACUGUGUGGAGACGGCUACACCCAGGAAAAGGAGGUGCGGAACACAACAGCAUCUUUCAUGUUUCUCAGUGGACUGUAGGUUUUACAUUUCGACCCCUGCCAUUUGUGGCUUUCUCACUGGACGGCCCAGCCCCUGCCUUUUGUUUAGAUUUGAUUCCUGCAGGCUCUGCUCUUAUCUGCCCCUAGUUUCUAAUUUAUUUUCAUACUUACGUUAGCUUUUCUGUGUGUUUUUUUUCCAAGGCAAGUCUUAACUCCAAAUACCUUUUCCAUACACUUAUUCUAACCUUCAGGAAAGCAGGCCAUUGCAAAUCCCCAGCUGAAGUUGGUUUCCACACCAUCCACAGUACCACUGCUGCUGUUUUCCCCCUCUCCUCCAGGAGCGGCUGAUGCAGAGCAGUGCUCGUUCCAUCCCUGCCACAUGGGCUUGCCUUUUCCCCGCAGGCCAGCCAGCCAUUUGGGAAGAUGCUGCUCUCAGCAUGUAAUGAGCAGUUCCUGUGGCAUGAAAUCAUCACAAACUCCUGGCAUGUUGCAUAAGAGGUGUAAAACUUGUCACAAACAUCUCUGGGGUUAUUGUGACCAAAAGAGAUUGCAGUCCCACCACUGUUCAGCUGCCCACAUGCAAAAAUACUUGAUGGUCUCAGCACCUAACACGCAAUUGGCUGCCAGGUGCCAGCAGAGCUGGGAAGGUGGAAAGGACUUCUGCGUUCUUCCUCUCUUUGGAUCCUCCAGGCAGAGUCCAGGGGCACAUUUCUAUGGGAGUGUAGGGGAGAGGAACCAAAGCCCGAGCAGCUGUUGCCUUCCCUGGCCAGGCCCAGCACGCCUGGAGGCCUGGGGCUGAGCGUGCUUUUCCUCAGGUCCAAAAUGAAGUCCAAAAACAGAUCCCCACACAGUCCUACUGCGGGAAGGAUUUGCUACAGGCCAUGUGAGUGCAUGUGUAUGACAAGCCAAUAAAAAACCUGACAGACACACCACCAGGUAUGUUUCAUACUUGGAAGAUUUCGUCUUAGAUGUCUGACUUGGAGUGAUGCUGUUUUUGCAUCCAUUUGUCUGGAGUCUUUGAACAGGCACAGCCUACACUACUGAUAGACUUAAGAUCACUAAAGGUCUGGGGGCACUGACACUUUCCAAGUAGCUUCAGCUGCAUGUCAUGUAAGGGCAUUCUGAGCAUGACGAGAGCCCUAAGUUUAAUUAGAAUGGUUUCAACCUGCCUUAAGAAACUAGAUCUGCUGUGUUAAUCCCAGUAAGCAACUGGAGCUUCACAGUGUGCCUGCUGUGACAAUACAAAACAGGAAGGAUAAAGCGUGUGUAGGAAGAGAGAAAUGCACAGGAAAUGCUAUCAGGGGCAGUGGGAUGACAUAAUUAGAACUGAGUUCAUUUCUCAGCCCCCCGAGUUACUCACUAGCCUGCUCUGAGCCUCGCUAGUUCUUUGUGAGGCCUGCUCUCAGCUUGGCUCAGGCUGAUCUGUACUUUGCCCAGGGAUGCUGACAUGUGCCACAAACCUCCCUGUUUCUCCACUCAUGAGCUUCCAUCCAGACACCAGCAAAGCUGCUCAGCUCUCCGUGUGCAUGUAGCACUCAGCAAAAAGCGGGCAGAAGUUAUGGUGUCUCCCAUCGGAAGAUGAGCAGAGGAUUCCAUCUUCUCUUCAGUCUGUGGUUACUGGCCUCCCUAGGAAGUUUGUACCAGCAUCAUAGCGGAGAAUGCACACUUAGCACAUGGAUGUUGGUGCCAUACACUACUCAGCAAACACCUGCCUGUAUUUCAUACACAGCCCUUUCUCUCACAGCUCACAGGCUAUCCCUGUUUCCCCCCCACACACACAUUUACUCCGUUUCCUCACGUUUCUGUCCAAAAGAUCUGAGAGCUUCCUGCCAGGGCCAGGUGCCUGGGAGAGUGAUGGUUAAUGGAUCGCAAAGGAAGUGUUGAUUAGCAGCUCUGAAAACUUGCAUUGUACAGGUUGCAUCCUACUUCACACAGUGGGAGGCAUGUUUAGCAAACCAAACCCAGCAUCAUUUAAACAUGUAGCUCUCAAAAUCCUCUCAAAAAAGCACAACUGAUCCUAUUUCAGGUUUGAUGGAAUCUACCAACCGCCUUUUGGGGAGCAUAACCCAGCAAGGAAAGCCACUUGCAGCCCCUUUCCCUCCUGAUGGACUACUCUCUGCUGCAGACUUGGAUACAGAAAAGCAUCUGAAGUGGAUUACUUUCAUGCAGUUCUGUAGCAGAGCCCUCAGCACUCACAUGGCCACAAGCAAGCCUGCACAUCACUCCUGAACUCACUUCUUCUGAUGGUUCCCAUGGUGAAACCAACCACACACAACCACAGGUCUUGCCUAAGACAAAGCGUGUUGGAUCCUUCCAGAUUCAUUUCCCAGCACAGAGGUAGAGGAUGAGAUACAGCAUCAUCUAGCUCUGCCAGCAAGUGUUGACAAAUUCCUCACUGUCCCUCCAUGAAGCCAUGCAGCACAUCUGGGAGACAGAUCUGCAGGGCCAGAGAGAAUUUGGCUUGAGAAUUCACACUUUCAGUGUAGUCCAGAAGACUUGAAUCUGCUCCUAAGCACCUCCUGUGUCAGGCUGAGACAUUGCUAUGUUGAUUUAUAUACUUUUCAAAUUCUUAGAUGUUUUUUUUCCACUGCUGCAAAGCCAGGAACUCAAGUUUUAAUGAAAGGUAAGAUUCAAAAUACAGCACAUUGGCCAUGCAUGUAUCAGGUAAGCCAAACUUGGCCCGCAUAGCUGGCAUCCCUGAUUUAAAGCAUACCAGAGAAAAUAACCCACGAAACAGUAUGCACUCCCUAUAAAUAGCUGCUCUCUAGGUAGCAGUCAAGCUGUGGUUUAUGGACAAAAAUCAGUCCAAACUGUAUCACAGUACCUGAACAUUCUCUGCCUGGUUCUGCUGAGUUGUGUGUCUAACUUGGCCCACACCUCCCGCUGCAGACAGUUGUCCUGUUUUCUUUCAUAGCCCUCUGAACUCCCUGGUAGCAUUUGGACAGGUUUUAUGUAGAGUUUAUUGAAAGAUUUUUGCAGUGAUUUAGUGCAUGGGCUACUUGAGCCAAGUGAAACAGGAAUUCUAGUCCUCAGGCAUGAAAAGGCAGAAAGGAAAUUUUCUUAUUGAAAUAUAAUUUUUCCACAUUACUUAACAGUCUAGAAAGUUAAUACGAUUUUACUGGAAAAAAAAAUAUACAGUUACCACUGAGCCAAACAAGAAUAUAAUAAUGUUUUAGGUUGGGUUAAACUCCUUAGAAAUUGGCAGGCAUCACAGCCACUUUGCCUUCUGUGAAAAAGGCAAUUGAGAUCCCUCCCGAAACAAGGGAUUUGCAUCAGUAGCGUCUACUACACAAAACCAGGCACAUGGCAAGGUCUGAAUAGAUGGUGAAUCAUGUGGCCCAAGGGAUUUUUCUGGAUUUUGGGGGCGGGAGUGUGUGUGUGUAAAAUACCAGGCCACGAGGACCAGAUGGUAGAGCUCUGCAUGUGCAUGGGAAACAGCAAGAAGCACUACAGAAAUGGAUACUGAGAAGCAGCUGAAAGUCCAGGAGGCUGGGAGCUUCGAUUUGGAAAGAGAUUUCCUCUGUAGAGUGAGGGCCGAAAGACGCCCGGGACUGGGAGCAAAACCACAACUGAAAAAAACGAUUUCGUACAGCUUUUCUGUAAAUAAAUGGAAUUGCCUUGAGUAUGGACUUUGCUUUGUCAUAGCAUUUUCCUCUUACACUGAUAGUCACCAAUUACUUCUUGGUGUGGGCAGGGCACACAGUUCACCUCUCCUACAUUAUAGUUCACACUUCCCUUUCUGCCCUGUCAGGUCACACAGUAAAUUCUUUGGGACUGAGAUUAUUCUUUACAUGUUGUGAUUACAAACAAUUGUGGUACUCAUAUAACAUUGGAAAUUUAUUGGAAAUGCACUCUACUUGCAUGUUAAGUCCCAUUCUUUAGGGUCUGUCUUUCCUAUUGAGACUGUAAACACUUCAGGGCUUUGUCUUGCUCUAUAUGUACUGGCAUAGCUCAGUGGGAAUUAUCAAUGAAAACACAAAGUACUAUCACUGUUAAUCUUUGAAGACGAGCAUUUAAGGUUUUUCCUCAUUAUGCACAUUCUUAAUUAAGUUUAUGAGUAUUUCUUUGACAUAAAUUGAGCUACUUCUUAUUGUAAAUUUUAAGUCUCUGUAAAGCUGGGGUCUGUAUAAUCAAGAAGAAAAUUCUUAAGUGUAUUUCAAAAAUUUAAUUUUUAAGACACUCUAGAAAAAGUAGGUACCCAUUCUUGCCUCAUUUAUAGUUCCAUAUAAGCUCAUAGCAUGAAUAUACAGCAGAUGGCGUUUGCUGCUGCCGCUCUCUGCAGUUGUGGCUACAAGGAAGUACCAUCAGUCUGACACUUUACUGGCUAGCUAAAAUAGUUAUAUUUUCCAUUAAAAGUAUUACUGCCAGACAUACAUAUCAGCCUAAGGGCAUACACUGCAACACAGCUUAAGUGACUGGAAACUCAGAACUUCAACAACAUUAAGAGUUCCUCCAAACAAAAAGAAUGUAAUUAUCCCAAAUAUUUUGUCAAACUUGUUAACAUAUUUACUAUUUAUAGCAGGUUUUUUUUUUACCAUUUUGCAGAAUUUUCCAUUAUGCUUCUCUUCCCCUACUUGAUUCUCUGUAGUCACAAAACUCGUGGGCCUUUUCUAUUAUUAUAUCUGUUAUCUUUUUCAAGCACAUUAUAAGGACAGAGAGACAUAGCAUGAGUGCGUUGGUAUUGCUUCCUUAGGAGGUCAGGCUAAUGGCACACCUGAUGUUCCUACAAGAAAAGAGCCAAACUGUCCAGUAGGUUGGAACACCUUGGGUGUUGGGUUGGGUGGUAUUUUGAGAAAUUUCAUCAUACUGUAUCUAAAUGGUUAUAGCUUCAAUAUUAAAACAAACUGAGAGUCUUUUUUCCUGAAAACUAACCCAAAUCACCCAUAAAUACCAUCUAAACUGUUAAAGCAUCUUUCAAAAACCAUAUGCUUCCAGCAGUUUUCCUAGGCAACGUGCUCACCUUUCUCUCCUUCCUAUUAUUUUUCUUAGCAACUGUGAAGUAACAAAUUAGUAACAAUAAUGGAACACAGAUAUUUACUUUUUACCCAGAUUUUACCCCACUUCAUCUUUGAUUUUGGUGCGCUCACUGUACACAUACUCUUAAGACUGCAGAUGUGUAAGCUUUUGAUGACAGAACUUGUGCCAAAAAUGAUGUAUAUGCCAAAACAGGAGAAGCAAUUAAUAGUGAUUAGAUUUGAAUUUCACUAAUAGAGGGUU